rnacentral:tRNA from 1 species
GGAUGUGUAGCUCCAAUGGUAGAGCAGCGGUUUGAAGCACCGUGGCUGCAGGUUCGAGCCCUGCCACAUCCG